AUUUGAAGAGGUUGCAGUGCUCAUCAGUAACCAUGUGGAGACAGGCAAAUGUCUUAAGCUUGGCGAAAGGGUGCAUUGCCGAAAUGCAGGGGUGUUUGCCCACCACUGACAUUGGGACGUAUUCCGAAAGGAUGCGGACUGUCGCGUGUAUACGCGGGGAGCUUCAA
rnacentral:ncRNA from 1 species